AUUGAACGCUGGCGGCAUGCCUAACACAUGCAAGUCGAACGGCGCGGCGGACGGGUGCUUAAGGCCUGGGAAUCUGCCUGGUAGUGGGGGAUAACGUCCGGAAAGGGGAGCUAAUACCGCAGACUAUCAGAGCAGCCUAGGUCGGAUCGGCUAGUUGGUGGGGUAAAGGCUUACCAAGGCGACGAUCCGUAACUGGUCUGAGAGGAUGAUCAGUCACACUGGAACGGAGACACGGUCCAGACUCCUACGGGAGGCAGCAGUGGGGAAUAUUGGACAAUGGGCGAAAGCCUGAUCUAGCCAUGCCGCGUGUGUGAAGAAGGUCUUCGGAUUGUAAAGCACUUUAGGUUGGGAGGCGGUACCUACAGAAUAAGCACCGGCUAACUUCGUGCCAGCAGCCGCGGUAAUUC
rnacentral:rRNA from 1 species